GUGGGCACGGACAGAGCGCCUGUGGCAUCAUGGCUCGUUUUCGCUUCGUGCGGCUUUUCUUCUUCCUGCAGGCUGCGGCCUGUCUCGCUACUUACCGAUGCUGUCACGUAUCACCCAUCUAUAAAUGCCACACACGCAAAAACCUUGGAAUCACCCCUUGCCGGAAAAUAGCGACUGUGGGAAUGAGUCACGCCAACCUGUGACUUUCAAUGAUUGCCUUCGAGACAUAUCGCUCCCAUGGACCAGGACAGUCGCGUCGACAAAGCAAGCAGUCCCUGCGCAAUUCUUAAACAGCACGGGAACCUCACCUCGCUUCAGCGGACACGAAAAGAGCACCUGUGUGGCAUCAUGGCUCAUUUUCGCUUCGUGCGGCUUUUCUACUUCGUGCAGAUACAAAUGCUCGUUCCGGACUUUUUGUGCAUUCAUCCAACAUCGCAUCCAUCGUUGCGGCACCAGGCGAGCAGCAGUAGUUCCCGUACGAAGCUCCACCGGACGAUGUCAGCGGAAAAAGGGCACCACAAGGACUCUCUCCAUGCGCUCAAUGAGAUUACAAAGCACCAUCAGCUCGGCAGGAGGGUCUAUCCCCAGCCCCACGCCAAGCUCUCCAGGCCUCACUCUUCCACCCUUCGCAUGCUGCAGACCGG